GCAAGUCGAGCGAGAAAGCCUUCGGGUGAGUACAGCGGCGGACGGGUGAGUAACGCGUAGGAAUCUACCUGGUAGUGGGGGACAACUUGGGGAAACCCAAGCUAAUACCGCAUACGCCCUAUGGGGGAAAGUGGGGGACCUUCGGGCCUCACGCUAUCGGAUGAGCCUGCGUAGGAUUAGCUUGUUGGUGAGGUAAAGGCUCACCAAGGCGACGAUCCUUAGCUGGUCUGAGAGGAUGAUC
rnacentral:rRNA from 1 species